AGAUGAAGUGUGGCAUGCCCUUAUUGUUGCUAUAAGCAAUGCUUCUGAUCUCCAUGGAUAUACAGUCAGGGCUUUAUACAGAUCAUUUCAAACUUCAGCUGAACAGGAAACCCUUGUUCGAGUUGCAGUAUGGUGCAUUGGAGAAUAUGGUGACAUGUUGGUGAACAAUGUUGGGGUGCUUGACAUAGAGGAUCCUAUAAAAACUGUCACAGAGUCUAAUGCUGUGGAUGUUGUUGAGAUUGCUAUAAAGCGUCAUGCCUCUGAUCUCACUACUAAAGCAAUGGCUUUGAUUGCUUUAGUGAAGCUCUCUUCCCGGUUCCCAUCUUGCUCAGGGAGGAUCAAGGAUAUAAUUGUUCAAUAUAAAGGAAGCUUUGUUCUUGAAUUGCAGCAAAGAUCCCUAGAGUUCAAUUCUAUUAUUGAGAAGCAUCAGAAUAU
rnacentral:misc_RNA from 1 species